AAAGAAGAGGACUAUAUUAAUUACUCCUGUCACAGUGACCAAUGCAGAAGGCCAACCUGGAUCUGCAGAUACCACUGGUUUCCAAAUCCCGGCUGCACCUACCAAGCAAUCUGAAGGCAGUUAACAUCAGUCCCCGUUCAGUCACCUCUGAGAUGGGAGAAAGGUUUCAACGGUGGCGCCAAACAAAGGUU